AACGAACGCUGGCGGCAGGCUUAACACAUGCAAGUCGAACGCCCCGCAAGGGGAGUGGCAGACGGGUGAGUAACGCGUGGGAAUCUACCCAGUUCUACGGAACAACUGAGGGAAACUUCAGCUAAUACCGUAUACGCCCUACGGGGGAAAGAUUUAUCGGAAUUGGAUGAGCCCGCGUUGGAUUAGCUAGUUGGUGAGGUAACGGCUCACCAAGGCGACGAUCCAUAGCUGGUCUGAGAGGAUGAUCAGCCACACUGGGACUGAGAUACGGCCCAGACGCCUACGGGAGGCAGCAGUGGGGAAUAUUGGACAAUGGGCGCAAGCCUGAUCCAGCCAUGCCGCGUGAGUGAUGAAGGCCUUAGGGUUGUAAAGCUCUUUCAGUGGGGACGAUAAUGACGGUACCCACAGAAGAAGCCCCGGCUAACUUCGUGCCAGCAGCCGCCGUAACAC
rnacentral:rRNA from 1 species